rnacentral:tRNA from 1 species
GGUAUAGUAGCUCAGUGGUGGAGCACGUGCUUAGCAUGCAUGAGGUCCUGGGUUCAAUCCCCAGCACCUCCA